GUUCAGAAUGGUGGUGUCAAAGACUGUGCUGCUAAGAAGUGCUUACCACGUCAAAUGCCAAAACCAACUAUUCCUUCUGAUAAGAAGUGCUUACCACCUCAAAUGCCAAAACCAACUAUUCCUUCUGAUAAGAAAUGCUUACCACCUCAAAUGCCAAAACCAACUAUUCCUUCUGACAAGAAGUGCUUACCACCUCAAAUGCCAAAACCAACUAUUCCUUCUGAUAAAAAGUGCUUACUACGCUGUGAAAUUUGUCAUGUUACGAUUUCUCCCAAUUGUGUUGAACAGCAUA
rnacentral:lncRNA from 1 species